GGUAAUGGCCUCACCAAGGCGAUGACGGGUAGCCGGCCUGAGAGGGUGACCGGCCACACUGGGACUGAGACACGGCCCAGACUCCUACGGGAGGCAGCAGUGGGGAAUAUUGCACAAUGGGCGAAAGCCUGAUGCAGCGACGCCGCGUGAGGGAUGACGGCCUUCGGGUUGUAAACCUCUUUCAGUAGGGAAGAAGCGAAAGUGACGGUUCCUGCAGAAGAAGCGCCGGCUAACUACGUGCCAGCAGCCGCGGUAAUACGUAGGGCGCAAGCGUUAUCCGGAAUUAUUGGGCGUAAAGAGCUCGUAGGCGGUUUGUCGCGUCUGUCGUGAAAGUCCGAGGCUCAACCUCGGAUCUGCGGUGGGUACGGGCAGACUAGAGUGAGGUAGGGGAGACUGGAAUUCCUGGUGUAGCGGUGAAAUGCGCAGAUAUCAGGAGGAACACCGAUGGCGAAGGCAGGUCUCUGGGCAUUAACUGACGCUGAGGAGCGAAAGCAUGGGGAGCGAACAGGAUUAGAUACCCUGGUAGUCCACGCCGUAAACGUUGGGCACUAGGUGUGGGGGACAUUCCACGUU
rnacentral:rRNA from 1 species